CCUGGCCGUAGUGAGAGUAUGACUUCCAAACCUGCAGCCCUAGCUGCCAAAGCUUCUUGAAAGACGUCUGUCACAAAUAAAAUGUUUGAUGGCUUAUCAACUCCCACUGUUUUAAAAAUUUCAGAAUAACUUCGUGUUUCCUUCUUAUCCCCCACUGUAGUAUCAAAAAAUCCACAGAAGUAUUUUCUCAAGUCACCGUAGUUAGAUUUGGCAAAAAGGAGUUGUUGUGAUUCCCUGCUACCACUAGAAUAUACAUACACCUUAAAUCAGACAAGAAGCAAUGACAGUUAGCCAUGCAAAUCGAUUUUUUUUUUUUCACUCUAUAAGAGAUAAGAUGCACUUCAAAAUAUUCAAUAAUAACUUCUGGCUCUUGAGAUAAUUCAUUAUUUCUUUUCCCUCAACUACUUCAUGAGAGUUACUCAAAGGCUCUUAAAGGAACCAACCACUCCACAAUCAGCCAAUUGUAGCACAUCCCAUCAGCACCUGAAUCUAGCACUUGAUGCCUGAAGC
rnacentral:misc_RNA from 1 species